GACGAACGCUAGCGGGAGGCUUAACACAUGCAAGUCGAGCGGAAGAGUCUCUUUGGAGUCUUGAGAGCGGCGUACGGGUGCGGAACACGUGUGAAAACUGCCUUUAUCUGGGGGAUAGACUUUCGAAAGGAAGAUUAAUACCUCAUAAUAUACUGGAAGGCAUCAUCUGGUAUUGAAAACUCCGGUGGACAGAGAUGGGCACGCGCGAGAGUAGAUAGUUGGUGAGGUAACGGCUCACUAAGUCAGGGAUCUUCAGGGGGCCGGGGGGGGUGGUCCCCCACACUGGGACCGGGCCACCGGCCAGAGUGCUACGGGAGGGAGCAAUGCGGAAGAUUGGACAAUGGGGGAGAGCCUGAUCCAGCCAACCCGGGUGAAGGACGGCCGCCCUAUGGGUUGUAAACUUCUUUUGUAUAAGGAGAAGCCUAGUUGCUGGUAUCUAGCUGAAGGUACUAGACGAAGAAGCACCGGCUAACUCCGUG
rnacentral:rRNA from 1 species